rnacentral:rRNA from 1 species
UACGUAGGGCCCAAGCGUUGUUCGGAUUUACUGGGCGUAAAGGGCGCGUAGGCGGCAAUUCAAGUCAUCUGUGAAAUCUCCGGGCUUAACUCGGAACGGCCAAGUGAAACUGUCAUGCUAGAGUGCAGAAGGGGCAAUCGGAAUUCUUGGUGUAGCGGUGAAAUGCGUAGAUAUCAAGAGGAACACCUGAGGUGAAGACGGGUUGCUGGGCUGACACUGACGCUGAGGCGCGAAAGCCAGGGGAGCAAACGGG